rnacentral:rRNA from 1 species
UACGUAGGGUCCGAGCGUUGUCCGGAAUUAUUGGGCGUAAAGGGCUCGUAGGCGGUUUGUCGCGUCGGGAGUGAAAACUCAGGGCUCAACCCUGAGCGUGCUUCCGAUACGGGCAGACUAGAGGUAUGCAGGGGAGAACGGAAUUCCUGGUGUAGCGGUGGAACGCGCAGAUAUCAGGAGGAACACCGGUGGCGAAGGCGGUUCUCUGGGCAUUACCUGACGCUGAGGAGCGAAAGCAUGGGGAGCGAACAGG